rnacentral:ncRNA from 2 species
AUUUUUACCAAGGGGUGCCAUAUUAGCGACUAUUUCGCUGGUUUGGCUGAGAUGCAACAUGCGAACCCUUUGCACCUGAUCCGGUUAAUACUGGCGUAGGGAUGGUAGCAUUAUCACUC